AUACGUAGGUGGCGAGCGUUGUCCGGAAUUACUGGGUGUAAAGGGCGUGUAGGCGGGAAUGUAAGUCAGAUGUGAAAUGCCGAGGCUUAACCUCGGAGCUGCAUCUGAAACUGUGUUUCUUGAGUGUCGGAGAGGAAAGUGGAAUUCCUAGUGUAGCGGUGAAAUGCGUAGAUAUUAGGAGGAACACCAGUGGCGAAGGCGACUUUCUGGACGAUAACUGACGCUGAGGCGCGAAAGCGU
rnacentral:rRNA from 1 species